ensembl:lncRNA
GCAGAGGAGGACAGCAGUUGUAGGGGUUUGUGUUUUGUGCAAAGAGGCAGCGUGCAAGCAGACGAAAGAGACUGCGGGUAGGCAAUGCGGCACACAUCGAAGAAGCAGCUCAUACGGCUAACCUGACAUUUUCACGCAGACCUCCGGCUGACUACACGUGUGUGAGGUGCGACUGCGUCAAGCGAGGCUGAGUUCCUGGAUUGAACCGCGGGAGGUUCUCAGCAGUCAAGAGACACUUGGAUGCUGCUGAUGCUGCUGAUGCCCUGCGGAUUGAACUUUGGCGGCAUGGCAGUCCAUCUGUCUCCAGGAGAGCAGCUUCCGGUUCUCUUCCUCUCAUCUCUGCCACUGCAGGAACACACAACCUGCAGGAUUAAGGCCCAUCCUUGUCAUCCCACAGGGCAGAGUGGUUUGAUUGACAGCUGGGUUCAGCAUCUUGACACAGGUCCGUGCCCCCGUCAUCAUCGCUGAUCGUCCCAUGCCGGCCUCUCAGAGUGACAGGUGCCUGCAGAGCCAUUUACUCCUCACGCAGCCGAAAAGAAAAAGUCGCCACGACUGCUCUCCUCCGCUUCCUGCACCUCUUCGUAACGUAUUUCCUUUUUAGCUUCCUGUAUUUCCCUUUUUUUUAGUAUUGUUUUUUUUCAUUUGGUUCUCCUUGACCUCAUCCUCUUUUCUCUCGUCUCUGAUCAACUCUCAAGUAUCUUCUGCAGGCAUCUUUUAAUCUAAAGGAAUCUGCCAGAUCUUAAUUAAGGUAAUUACUGUGUUUGUUUUAACUUAACACUCAUGACUCCACUCGAGCUACAAUCUUUGAGCGGGCUAUAACAGAUGGGGUGCUUAGUACUCCAUUGGGAUGCCUGACAGGAGUCAGCUGUAUGAUUUUUGAGCUUGAUGUUUUUUAGCUUAAUUUACCUCGCAAAACCGCUUAACAGGAAUUCCUCCCAAACCUUUCGCACAAAUGUUAAAAGGUGUCAUUAAUGUGUUAGGAGGGAAACCGAAACUGCUAUAUUUAUCAUGCGGAAUGGCUGGUUAGCUUUUAAUCACCACCACAAAAUGCGACAUUCCCUGAAGCUCUGUCACUAUGUGUUUUUUUUCGCAUGUACGUUUGGGCCUCAAGGGUUCUGGUUCAUCAACUCACAUUCAUCUCGUGACGAGCUGCUACACAACGUGUGGCGAUCCGCGAGCGACAAAACGCGUCUCUAUCUGUCUCGUUUGCUACUCAAAAGUUAGGAAACUCCAGGUUGUAAGCGUUUUAACAUGUAUCAUGUAACAUGUAACAUGUAUCAUGACCGAGAUACAUAUUGUGUGUGUGUGUGUGUGUGUGUGAGAGACCCAGAAGGACAGGAGGGCAUCAGAUGAGUACAGACUGUUUCCACCUGCCAGGUGCUUGGUCUCUAAUCCCCCCUCUCUGUCUGAUUAAACACACACACACACACACACACACACACACACACACACACACACACACACACACAUGCGUGUGCACGGGCACAACAAGGUCAUCUCUCUGUCAACCAUACAAUAGCGCUGUGUACCCAUCUGGCCUACAUCCUAAAUGCUUCCUCUUCAGUAAGCAAAUAAAAAAAAGGAGAAGACAGCAAACACUUGGAUCCAUAGCAACAGGUUACAAGUAAAUGACGAUUACAACAAUGGCGCUAUUUUACCACGUACUCCUUGUUCAUAAUGACAUGUCAUGUGCAGCCUGAUCUCCAAAACCUGUUCGUAAAAAUGUACACGAAAAUCUUGAAAAUACAAAUUUCGUAGUGAUACAUACGAAAUGACGUCACCCUAUUCAAAGUGAACGGGGACCUGCACCCCGUAAACACACUUUGUGAAGUCUAACGAUGUAAAAUAAACGUGUUAUGAUUGCAUUUUUAACGAGAAAUCAGUGUUAACUUGUAAGAAUAGAAUCCUAACCCUAACCCCCUCCAAAAAUCCGGCGAGGCGGAGAGACGUUCACUCAAGAAUCCGACAUGGUCCGCCAUGUUGUUCACUCAAGGGGCGUGGUUAACCCCCGCAGUUCGUAGGUAUCACUACGAAAUUUGUAUGUUCAAGAUUUUCGUAUACAUUUUUACGAACAGGUUUUGGAGAUCACGUUGGUCAUGUGACUAGUUGGGGAGAGGCCGGCAGUCACUUGUUUUGCCGUAUGUCCUUCUCUGUCCCGUGCACCCAGAGCUCCACUCAGAGAGGAUGAAGCCUGACACAAUAGUUUCUUUGUAUGAUAUCAAAAACACACUUUUAAGAACGCCGUUGUGCACCAAAGCUCGGCCAAAACCGCACGAGAUCCCCCUUCUCCCUUUUACAAUAAUAAAACUGCCUUUCUCUCUCUCUCUGUUUCCUGUUUUUACUUUGGAAUAUGACAAGCCUCCCCUGUGGUGAGGUCAUAUCAUUCUGACAAUGUUUUAUUCUGGGAGUACAACGCUUUGAUAUCUAGGAUAAGAGGGCUUUGUAGAGACAGUGACACCCGUCCUCCUCCUUCUACCUCCUCGGUACCCUCCCACUCCUCUGCCUUUCCUUCCCCUGGGGGGGUUUUGGCUUCUUCUGCCCCAUCUGACGGCUUUUAUGUCUGACGAGGUUUCUGCGCUGUUGAGGUGAGGACGAGGUCAAAAAGGACUUCAAACGCCGCGCUGAGGAACGCCAUGUCUGAAAUGAAUGAAGACGAAUGCGAAAAAAAAAAUUGUUUGUGUAACGUUUUGAACGGACACCUGAGUUCUGGGGUUUGUGUCCUGCGUUAAAUCACGGAGGACUAGAUAGCAUGCGGCCAGGAAAAUGUACCGUGCAUUAUCUACUAUGUUUAGCAUCAAGAGCAGCAUACCGUGCAUUUAUCACAAAUCUGUGUGUGGCUCGAUGUGCAUUACGAUAGUGCAGGAAUUCCAUGUGGUGCCGUGCUGUCUGCACCGUCUCCUCUGCUCACCUGUUGAGGCUGUGAUUAGAUACCGUCAACCUCCAGGCCACAGCUAUCACACACAGGUAGAGAACAGGCGGGACGCGGCUUUCCCUUAUGCUGCGGGAUGAGAGGGAACCGGUGAACCCCGGGAACUGCAGACGGCGCUGAAAGUUUGUGUCACACUAAUGAGCAAUCUGUCAACAAGUGUGCGCUACAGGGGGACUUCGAAAAAAAAAAAAAAAGCAAACGCUUGGAGAAAAAAAAACGAGAUUAUAUGGUGGAUAUCCCUGUACGAAUCCCCCUCCCUGUCUGAUUGGGGGACUGUAUAUUGUGCUCCGCGUGGGUUUUUGGAUGGUUUUUGUGUGAUUUGUGUGUUUUAACCCCU